rnacentral:rRNA from 1 species
GACGAACGCUGGCGGCGUGCCUAAUACAUGCAAGUCGAGCGGACAGAAGGGAGCUUGCUCCCGGACGUUAGCGGCGGACGGGUGAGUAACACGUAGGUAACCUGCCCCUUAGACUGGGAUAACUCCGGGAAACCGGAGCUAAUACGGGAUAAUAAAGAGAAUCACCUGAUUCUCUUUUGAAAGACGGUUUCGGCUGUCACUAAGGGAUGGGCCUGCGGCGCAUUAGCUAGUUGGUAAGGUAACGGCUUACCAAGGCGACGAUGCGUAGCCGACCUGAGAGGGUGAUCGGCCACACUGGGACUGAGACACGGCCCAGACUCCUACGGGAGGCAGCAGUAGGGAAUCUUCCGCAAUGGACAAAAGUCUGACGGAGCAACGCCGCGUGAGUGAGGAGGGCCUUCGGGUCGUAAAGCUCUGUUGUGAGGGAAGAACAAGUACCGGAGUAACUGACGGUACCUUGACGGUAUCUCACCAGAAAGCCACGGCUAACUACGUGCCAGCCGCCGCGGUAA